GGAGCUGUGCCCGAAACCUCAAGGGUCACUUUGAUAGAGUGAAAUAUGGGGGUUAAAGUCCCCCCAACUCCU
rnacentral:tRNA from 1 species